CCUACGGGAGGCAGCAGUGGGGAAUAUUGCACAAUGGGCGAAAGCCUGAUGCAGCAACGCCGCGUGAAGGAAGAAGGGUUUCGGCUCGUAAACUUCUAUCAACAGGGACGAAAGAAAUGACGGUACCUGAAUAAGAAGCCCCGGCUAACUACGUGCCAGCAGCCGCGGUACUACGUAGGGGGCAAGCGUUAUCCGGAAUUACUGGGUGUAAAGGGUGAGUAGGCGGCAUGGUAAGCCAGAUGUGAAAGCCUUGGGUUUAACCCGAGGAUUGCAUUUGGAAUUAUCAAGCGAGAGGACAGGAGAGGAAGGGGGAAUUCGUGGGGGAGCGGUAAAAUGUGUAGAGAUAGGGAAGAACACAGGUGGGGAGGGCGGUUGUCUGGACUGAAACUGACGUUGAGGCACGAAAGGGGGGGGAGCAAACAGGAUUAGAGACCUUAGGAGUC
rnacentral:rRNA from 1 species